UGGGGGAUAUUGCACAAUGGGCGAAAGCCUGAUGCAGCGACGCCGCGUGGGGGAUGAAGGCUUUCGGGUUGUAAACCUCUUUCGCUAUCGAACAAGGCCCGCUUAGGGUGGGUUGAGGGUAGGUGGAGAAGAAGCGCCGGCUAACUACGUGCCAGCAGCCGCGGUAAUACGUAGGGCGCGAGCGUUGUCCGGAAUUAUUGGGCGUAAAGGGCUUGUAGGCGGCUUGUUGCGCCUGCUGUGAAAACGCGGGGCUUAACUUCGCGCGUGCAGUGGGUAGGGGCAGGCUUGAGUGUGGUAGGGGUGACUGGAAUUACAGGUGUAGCGGUGGAAUGCGCAGAUAUCUGGAGGAACACCGAUGGCGAAGGCAGGUCACUGGGCCAUUACUGACGCUGAGGAGCGAAAGCAUGGGUAGCGAACAGG
rnacentral:rRNA from 1 species